GACGAACGCUGGCGGCGUGCUUAACACAUGCAAGUCGAACGGAAAGGCCCUGCUUUUGUGGGGUGCUCGAGUGGCGAACGGGUGAGUAACACGUGAGUAACCUGCCCUUGACUUUGGGAUAACUUCAGGAAACUGGGGCUAAUACCGGAUAGGAGCUCCUGCUGCAUGGUGGGGGUUGGAAAGUUUCGGCGGUUGGGGAUGGACUCGCGGCUUAUCAGCUUGUUGGUGGGGUAGUGGCUUACCAAGGCUUUGACGGGUAGCCGGCCUGAGAGGGUGACCGGCCACAUUGGGACUGAGAUACGGCCCAGACUCCUACGGGAGGCAGCAGUGGGGAAUAUUGCACAAUGGGCGGAAGCCUGAUGCAGCAACGCCGCGUGCGGGAUGACGGCCUUCGGGUUGUAAACCGCUUUCGCCUGUGACGAAGCGUGAGUGACGGUAAUGUGUACAGAAGCACCGGCUAACUACGUG
rnacentral:rRNA from 1 species